GAUGAAGAACGUAGCGAAAUGCGAUAAGUAGUGUGAAUUGCAGAAUUCAGUGAAUCAUCGAAUCUUUGAACGCACAUUGCGCCCUUUGGUAUUCCAAAGGGCAUGCCUGUUCGAGCGUCAUUUGUACCCUCAAGCUUUGCUUGGUGUUGGGCGUCUUGUCUCUAGCUUUGCUGGAGACUCGCCUUAAAGUAAUUGGCAGCCGGCCUACUGGUUUCGGAGCGCAGCACAAGUCGCACUCUCUAUCAGCAAAGGUCUAGCAUCCAUUAAGCCUUUUUUUCAACUUUUGACCUCGGAUCAGGUAGGGAUACCCGCUGAACUUAAGCAUAUCAAUAAGCGGGGA
rnacentral:misc_RNA from 1 species